GGAGAGGUACCCAAGAGGCUGAAGGGGGGAGAUUGCUAAUCUCCUAGGGGUGUAACAGCCCGCGAGGGUUCGAAUCCCUCUCUCUCCG
rnacentral:tRNA from 1 species